GUGGAGCAGAGGCAAGGAGAGUGGAAAAUUACUGACAGAGGGGAGGAGGAGUUCCACGUCUGGCUCUCUCUGCAGGCAGGAGGGAUUGCCUGCAAGCCGGAGACACCUGCUCCAGCGACGACACCUGCAGCCCGCGACUGCGCACCCUCAGGCAGUGUGUGGCGGGAGACGGCAGUGUGAAGCUCGGGCCCGGGGCGCGAAACCAAUGUGAGAACGCCAUGACGGCGCUGCUGUCCACUCCUCUCCACGGCUGCCAAUGUAAACGAGGGAUGAAGAAGGAGAAGAACUGCUUGAGUAUCUACUGGAGUCUGCAUCAGUCUGUGCUGCACGGACUCAGCCUGGUGGAGAGCUACCCGUAUGAACCCGAGGAGAGGGGCUCUGACUACGUUCGUCUGGCCUCCAUUGCUGCAGGUGAGUGGG